CAGGAUGAACGCUAGCGACAGGCUUAACACAUGCAAGUCGAGGGGCAGCAUAGAAGUAGCAAUACUUGGUGGCGACCGGCGCACGGGUGAGUAACGCGUAUGCAACCUACCUAUCAGGAGGGGAAUAACCCGGCGAAAGUCGGACUAAUACCGCAUAAAACAGGGGCACCGCAUGGUGAUAUUUGUUAAAGAAAUUCGCUGAUAGAUGGGCAUGCGUUCCAUUAGGUAGUUGGUGAGGUAACGGCUCACCAAGCCGACGAUGGAUAGGGGAACUGAGAGGUUGGUCCCCCACACUGGUACUGAGACACGGACCAGACUCCUACGGGAGGCAGCAGUGAGGAAUAUUGGUCAAUGGGCGGGAGCCUGAACCAGCCAAGUCGCCGUGAAGGAAGAAGGAUCUAUGGUUCGUAAACUUCUUUUGCAGGGGAAUAAAGUGCAGGACGUGUCCUGUUUUGUAUGUACCCUGAGAAUAAGGACCGGCUAACUCCGUGCCAGCCGCGGC
rnacentral:rRNA from 1 species